GAUAAAGCAUAGCAGUGUGAACAGACAACACAGAGUUACACAUGGAGUAAACAAUUAACAAGUCAAUAACAGUAGAAAAAAGGGGGAGUCUAUAUACAAUGUGUGCAAAAGGCAUGAGGUAGGCGAAUAAUUACAAUUUUGCAGAUUAGCACUGGAGUGAUAAAUGAUCAGAUGGUCAUGUACAGGUAGAGAUAUUUUUGUGCAAAAGAGCAGAAAAGUAAAUAAAUAAAAACAGUAUAAAAAACAGCAUGGGAAUGAGGUAGGUGAAAAUGGGUGGGCUAUUUACCAAUAGACUAUGUACAGCAGCAGCGAUCGGUUAGCUGCUCAGAUAGCUGAUGUUUGAAGUUGGUGAGGGAGAUAAAAGUCUCCAACUUCAGCGAUUUUUGCAAUUCGUUCCAGUCACAGGCAGCCGGGUGCGGUGGCAUGUACCUGUAAUCCAAGUCACUGGGAGGCUGAGGUUGGUGGAUCAAGUGAGCUGAGGAGCUCUGGGCUACAGCACACUAUGUCGAACGGGUGUCCACGCUAAAUUCGGUAUCGAUAUGGUGUUCCUGGGGUAGCCCUGGACCACCAGGUUGUCUAAGGAGGGGUGAACCUGCCCAGGUCGGAAACGAAGCAGGUCAAAUCCCCCGUGCUGUCCAGUAGUGGGAUAACACCAAUUUGACCUACCAGUCAGAGUUGAAUCGUCCCGAAUAGCUGUUGUAGGGACACAUUAAGAAUGGCCGUUACACGAUGCCCGUGCACGGUUAUCCAUAGCUACGGAAUGGUUUGUUUUCUGUUUCACCGUCAGCCCGUUUGGAUAUGUGUGUCAGUGUGGGGGCUACUCCGGUAAAGCUUUUAGACUAGUAACGUUAGCGCAAUUCAGAACAACAAAGCUUUGUGGGAUGUAGCACUAGCUAGCUACUCAACCAGAGGAGCAGAGCACUAGCCCAGGGGUAUUCAACAUGGGGUCCGCGAGGUACUGCAAGAUGGAUUGUUUGAACUAGGGCACACAAGCGAUUCAGUGAACUCCUCUCCAAAGAGGACAGAAACCUCACCAGUGUGCCCAUGGAGAAAGUCCUUUCACUGCCAGAACUCAAGUCCAAACCUUUCAGGAAAAGGAUCUGCCAUGUAUUCUCAACAUCUGAUAUGAAAGAUGGAAGUCUCACCUUUGAGGACUUUCUUGAUCUCUUGAGUGCCUUCAGCGAUUCAGCUACACUGGAAAUCAAGUCCCACUAUGCAUUCUGCAUUUUUGACUUUGAUGACGAUGGCACUCUGGAUGGUGGGGACCUGGAGAAGCUGGUGAACUGUUUGACUGAUUCUUGAAGAGUCAGAUAUAGACAAAGAUGGGACAGUAAAUCUGUCAGAGUUCCAACAUGUUAUCUCCAGGUCACCAGAUUUCGUCAGUUCUUUUAAGAUUGUGCUGUGAAGUCUACGAAUAACACACCAGGAUAUGGAUGCUUUGGAUUCUGUUCUAUUCAUACUAAGAGGACCUCUUCUAUUUUUUUUCAUUGUAAUACCAAUAACUUUGAGAUUUUGCCUUAAAUUAUACAGAGUGGCUCCACUCCCCCCAGACUAAAGGUUUCUAAGCUUUUGGGCAUGUGCGGAUCACGCACUGCGCAUGUUUUUACCUCUACUUGACACAUACUACACAAAUGUAUCUUUCCUUUCACAUAUCUCAUUGUCAAUUGUGAAUGAUAGAUAAUAAUGGAGUCUUUGUAGGCACCAACUCCACAGUGGUUCAUUGGACAAAGCCUAAGGGGAAAUUAAUGGUGUUUUUGGAUAAAUGCCAUAAAUAAGUUUAGGUAAACACAGGCUUAAGAGAUUUUUUUGGUUCUGAGAAUCUUCAUCAGCUAACAUCACUUUCUUGAAUUUUGAAGAGUUCAUAUAAUCAACAACAACAAAACACAUAGCACAAAGGCUUAAUUCAUAAAGGUCAUGUUAACUGACUGGUAUUAUCUGAUAUAACAAAACAUAAGAUCUCCUCAGCCUGUGUUAACCUCAGACCUUAUUUUCUGCAUUUAUUCCAAAACCCUAUUCUUUCCCCAUUUUUCACAGGGAUGGCUGAAAAAAAACAAAGGUAACUAAUUUCCUGGGUUUUAGGACUACAUGCUGGCGAGCUCUGGUAAUUCAAGUUUUUAGCAGUUAAACGUCCAUGCAGCAAGGGAUCUGCAUACCAACCAUUUGAUCUCAUCAGCUUCAUGGGAUAUGCAUUUAGAUCUUCGUGUUAUUGUUGUUUCGAAUUAUGGGCUAGUGAGCAAAUUUUAGUGCAGAUGUUAAACUGUAGCAUAGUUUAGGCUGUGUUUUUGCCAAGUGGCCACAUGGAUUAUUUUUUUGUUGUUGUCGGACAGUAAUGUUAUAUUCGGUUCUGUUUUGUAGAAUACCAUCAUUGUGAUCUUGCAGACAUUGAAUCAGCUUUGAUCAAACUUUAUUAAACAAGCUCCAUUAGCCAGAGUAGCACAGAGUGUGCGUAAAGUAGAGAAUAAUUUUUCCGGGAGGUAAAGGUUUGGGAAAGUGUAUUUCUACAUCAUGUCAGUGCUCUCUUAACAAACUUUUUCAAAUCUAUAAAGAGCUAGAAUAAAAGUAAUCAAGUCUUA